GACAGAAACUAAAUCCAUAUGUAUGGCUUGACAUCUAUCUUACAAAAAAAAUGGUUUUUGAACCAUCCGACGACUCUUAAUUGAGUUUUUUAAUUCAUCAACGGUUUCCACUGCUCAAAAAUAUAGAAAAAUGAAAGAGAUAAAUCGUGGUUCAGAAUGCACCCCUUUUCUCCGCCCUCAUCCAGCGUCCUAGAUCAAAUUCUUCAUGCGCUACCCAAAAUCAACAGAUUUAUUAUCAUCGCUUACAUCGACAGAGUUAGUGUUAUCAUUCAAUGUCAAAAUGUUUCUUUUCCUCUCAAUGUAACCGAUUGUCGCCACACUCUCUUAAUCCUCACAUUAAUCCUCUCAACUAGCGUUUGAUAUUUCAACAGGAUGAUUACUUGAUUGGUUUUCAACGAUCCAAGUUAUUCGCAUUACAAAACUGGAGAUGGUUAACCAUGGAAAAGUUCCCAGAUUCAAGAGAUCAUGCUAUAUUUCAGAUCACUCGACACACUUCAAUAAAUUUUGGCAGUUUGAGUAAAUUACCAGUAAAAUCCUUUAGUUGCAAACCUUUCAGCAAAUCUAUAAUGGGGAUCGAGAUUUUUAUUACUGAAGUUGAAGUUAGAGGUGGAGGGAGCUUGCAAUUGGUUAUUGCUUCUACCGACUUAAAACUUGAAAGCUUUGCCCUACCCACCAACAUGGAAACCGAUGAAUUUUUCUCAUUGUUUUUCUUUUUGCAGCUCUUGGCCGACCAGUGGAAUAAAAGUUGGGGAGACGUAUGUAUUUUUCUACUGAUCAAUCGUUGUCAUCAAAUCUGACUUCAAAAUAAUU